AAGGCCUGUAAUACUCUAAACUACAUCACCUGGAUGCAACCCAGACACUUUAAUUAAGCUAAGACCUCC
rnacentral:tRNA from 1 species